rfam:Monodelphis domestica chromosome 2, whole genome shotgun sequence.
CCCAGGUAUGGGGACAUGGUACCCAAGACCAUCGCAGGGAAAAUCUUUGGUUCCAUCUGCUCCCUCAGUGGUGUCCUGGUCAUCGCCCUACCUGUCCCUGUUAUCGUCUCCAAC